rfam:Felis catus isolate Cinnamon breed Abyssinian chromosome B4, whole genome shotgun sequence.
GCCUGGGUGGCUCAGUCAGUUGAGCAUCCGAUUUUGGCUCAGGUCAUGAUCUCAUGGUUCAUGGGUUCAAGCCCUGCCUCAGGCU